rnacentral:rRNA from 1 species
UGAGGAAUAUUGGUCAAUGGGCGGAAGCCUGAACCAGCCAUCCCGCGUGCAGGAAGACGGCCCUAUGGGUUGUAAACUGCUUUUCCAGGGGGCGAAUAGCUCUAACGUGUUGGGGUAUGACUGUACCCUGGGAAUAAGCAUCGGCUAACUCCGUG